GCCAGGAGUGGUGGCCACACCUGUGAUCCCAGCAGCUUGCUUGGGAGGCUGAGGCAGGAGGAUCGCAAGUUCAAGGCCAGCCUCAGCAACUUAGUGAGAACUUGCCUCAA
rnacentral:sRNA from 1 species